AGUAACACCGGGUUAUUUCCUCCUGGCCUGCAGAUUGACAUCAUAAGAAGGACACCGCCCUGAGAGACAUAGCAUUACAGUAUUCCUCGGCUUUAUCAGCAUGCAACGGUUUCAUAUUUAAAAAAAAAAAAAAAACGAUUUAUUUAUUUAUGUAUUUAUUUUCAGACGGAUGCGUGAUGAGUCUUUCGGUUUUGUUUCGUAAAUCUUCUUAUUUCCAUGUCCCUGUCUUUACAUCUCUAUUCCUUCCCGUUUUCAACCUUUGUGCCAUCGUGUCAGUUUGUAAACAUAAACACUUUCAGUUACUUCAUCAAAAUAAUUGGGUUGCAGUAGUAGAGUGGUUUACUUCGCUUCCUCUGCCCAGUUUUGGGGUUAAAUCUGCACGCAUCGGCCUCUUGAAAUGACACAUUAAAAUGGAUGAAUACAACGGAAGCACUAAAUGCCAUACGGUGUUUUAUUGUAUGCUUUAAAGAUUCGUUCCCGGUGUACACUCGUGUAGUUUCAGGUUUUGGAUAGCUUUAGUUGGUGACGUUGCAUUCAUCUUAUAGACAUUCAGGAAUACAUGUAAAAACCCAUCUUUAGUUCCUCAACCUGGUCGCUGCCACCCCACAGGGAUUCACUGCAGCAGAGGACAAAAAAGUUUAGGUGCGCUGAGGCUCAACACUCCAGCACGACAGGACUCCAGUCAGUUUGUAAGUGUGCUACACAGUGGAAUUCACUUCCAUAAUAAAAAUCUGCCACUGUAAACAAGGAGUACUUAGACUGCAGCGAUAGAUAGUACUCCAUCUGCAAAUCCUGGAAUGCCCACAAUUGCAGUCUUGUCUCCUCACAAUAAUUGAUAAUGGUUCAGCAAAUCUUAAUGGAAGAGAUACAGAUCUUUGGGCAGUCAGUAUCAUGCUGUGGUGUCUGUUUAUUUAAUUUUUUUAAAACUGUCAAUUUUUGUGUGUCAUGCAUAUCUGUGCCUAGUUUUCCCGGCAGCAGUGAGUUGCCAAGUCCUUCCUGUCGUCUCAGGAAGUUCGUUACAUCUGCAGAUGCGCACCCGGUUACACAACUCUUCUCAGGACCUCCUUGGGCUUCAACUGUGAUCAGAUACAAGCCUUUCUUACUAAUAAUCUGAAGCUAGGUUUUUGUCCAGCAUGUGUUAAAAGAGGUUCUGUACAGCAUUGUCAGAUUACCUGGAUGCAACGCGUUUAGGAUUAAUAUUGGCGACCAGUAGCAGCAAGAAAUCUUUUUCUCUAUUAAAAAGAUUUUGUGAUUUAACCACAAAAAAGCACAACCCUUAUUCCAACACUAGUGCAUCUACAGGAGUAAGAUGGUCCUCUGCAAUUCACUUCAAUGGGUGGGGUUUCUAGUCAGGUUUCCACAUCCUUAUCUGUUUGAAACUGUUUCCUGGACAUUUCCAUUCAUUACACAACCCUGUUGAGAAACCUCAGCCUGCUGCUUCCAGAGGCUGUGGUAAUAACCUGAGAGUCACUUGAGGUAAUUCCAAACGACGCAAUUGAGCAAGAGCAUGGAGUCUGAACACUUUAUGGUUAAACGGACAGCAGACUGCUCCCCACCCCCCCACGACUGAUACAGUGUUGUGUAUGUGAAAUGUAUCAUGUUAUGUAUAAUACAUUUGCAACUGUAAUCUGCAUAGUAUUAAAAACAUACUUGGAGGCACCUUGUGGAGUAGGUCAAGCCUGUGAUUAGAGCAAAUGGGGGCCAAAUCAUUCACAUUUUUUUCUUGGUAAGUAAGGCUGCCCAAAUGACCAUUGUUUCAUGCCCCUUUACCACAGUAUUUUCACACAGUAUUUUUGCAGUUUUACCAUGCUUUUCCCCCAGCUAUAUCAUAGUUUAUGGUGUUAAUUAAUAGGCUUUAACAUACCUUGUUAUUUUUUUACAAUACUUACCUAUGCUUUACCAUGCUUUC